GUCUUGUAAUUGGAAUGAUGGGAAUCUAAACCCUUCCCAGAGUAUCAAUUGGAGGGCAAGUCUGGUGCCAGCAGCCGCGGUAAUUCCAGCUCCAAUAGCGUAUAUUAAAGUUGUUGCAGUUAAGAAGCUCGUAGUUGAAUUUCUGCCUUGUCAUUAAUCUCGCUUCCGAGCGUUUUUUUAUUGGCUUGGCAUCUUCUGGAUUUGGUGCCUUCGGGUACUAUUUUCCAGGAUUUACUUUGAGAAAACUAGAGUGUUUCAAACAGGCAUUCGCCUUGAAUACUACAGCAUGGAAUAAUGAAGUAGGACUUUGGUUCUAUUUUGUUGGUUAUUGAGCCAGAGUAAUGGUUAAUAGGAGCAGUUGGGGGCAUUCGUAUUUAACUGUCAGAGGUGAAAUUCUAGAUUUGUUAAAGACGAACUACUGCGAAAGCAUUUGCCAAGGAUGUUUCAUUAAUCAAGACGAAGUUAGGGGAACGGUCAGAUCCGUCUCAUA
rnacentral:rRNA from 1 species